CUGGCGACGAAAGUGCAGUGGCAGUGGAGGAGUGUCAUCCUGUUGGUCUGAUUGUCAAUAAACGAGUGAGGGGAUAAUUGGUGUAUUGCUGGCAGUGGCUGCAUCUCUCCGAGUCCUGGCGACGAAAGUGCAGUGGCAGUGGAGGAGUGUCAUCCUGUUGGUCUGAUUGUCAAUAAACGAGUGAGGGGAUAAUUGGUGUAUUGCUGGCAGUGGCUGCAUCUCUCCGAGUCCUGGCGACGAAAGUGCAGUGGCAGUGGAGGAGUGUCAUCCUGUUGGUCUGAUUGUCAAUAAACGAGUGAGGGGAUAAUUGGUGUAUUGCUGGCAGUGGCUGCAUCUCUCCGAGUCCUGGCGACGAAAGUGCAGUGGCAGUGGAGGAGUGUCAUCCUGUUGGUCUGAUUGUCAAUAAACGAGUGAGGGGAUAAUUGGUGUAUUGCUGGCAGUGGCUGCAUCUCUCCGAGUCCUGGCGACGAAAGUGCAGUGGCAGUGGAGGAGUGUCAUCCUGUUGGUCUGAUUGUCAAUAAACGAGUGAGGGGAUAAUUGGUGUAUUGUUGGCAGUGGCUGCAUCUCUCCGAGUCCUGGCGACGGUAGUGCAGUGGCAUUGGCAGGGGUCAGUGGAGGAGUACCAUCCUGUUGUGAUCAUUAAGCCUAGAAAUGGAUAAUUGGUAGACUGGUGCCAGUGGCUGCCUCGCUCUCAGUCAUUAGCGUUGUUCAAACUUUGGAGUGGUUGUUCAAACUGUGAAGUGUAUAUAGCUGACUUGUUAAUCAAUGCUUGUUAUUUAUGAAUAAUCAAGGAUGACUACUGUCUACUCCUACAUCAACGCUAUUACAGUACUAUAUGUUAUAUAGUGUGUGCUAAAACCACAUUUUAUAACAUUCAGUGAAACUUGUAAACGUCUCCAGGAUGAUGCUGCGUAUUCCAGAAGUAAAGAGUUGUUGCUGUUGUCUGUCCCUCAGAACAGGAGCUAAACUCUUUGGGUUCAUGGCUUUGGUGGGAAGUGUAUUCACGAUAUUCUUGUCGUCAUUGUGGUUAGCUGUGCUCGCCGAACACCGAGAAGGCCAAACUAAUUCCUUGGUGGUUGGUUUCAACGUUUUUCAUGGCCAUCCUAGAAGUGCUGUUUAUUCCGUCUUUUUUCAUCAGACUUACCUUUGACACUGAUUUCAAUACAUUCGACUUGAGGUUGAUAUUGAUAAGUCUUUUCUUGACAAUUGAUGAUAUUUACGGAUGUCUGGUAGUAUACAGCUACUACCGCACCCUCAGUCCCCCCAGAUGUGAACCAAACUAGGAUAUACCAUUUUUGGAGGAUAUACUAAAGUAUUUUGCAAAAUACAGGUUUCACUAAACAAUGUUAUGUGGCAAUAAAGAACUUUAAAA